rnacentral:misc_RNA from 1 species
GCGAGUAUUGCUUUAUGGUACAGAAGCUAAUCUUGGGGCCAAAACCCAGACACCCCCAAAGAAACAAUGGGGUUGAUGUCAUAAAUUUAGCCAGAGUAAAUAAAUGUAAGGUGAGAACAAUUAAGUAUGAAUGUAGUUAAAGGAACAAGGGGAGGCUUGAUCACAAGACCAACUUAUUUUUCAUUUAUCUCAUCUAAUAACUAGAUUAAUGUUACAUACGAUGUACUCUGCUGCUUCUCAAUUCAGAACAGUGAUUACGCUUCAGCAUUCUCGUAUUGUAUGAAUAUGCCAUGUAAAUAUACUGUAUACACUGCAGUCUACAUAUUGAGGCUCCCCUUUUUUCCUUGUUUUAACUAAGAAAGAAUCUACAUUUGAACUGUCAUGGCCAAAAUAUACCAUCUUAGCGACCAGCAUGGCCAAAAAAAAAACUUGAUGAAUGAAUUUCACUGAGCGCAAUUGGACAGUAUUUUUUGUUAGAGCCAUCUGACAGCCGAAAGUUCCUUGAGCUUGAGGUAGGUAAUAUAUAAGGCUAUUCUGGAAGCUUCUGACAGAGCUCUUUCCACAAUCAAGCUGGUGGUUCUCCACCACAUGUUUCACCAACAAAAUUAUCAGUUGAGUUUUGCUGACAUAACAACUUAUUUCCAUCUCCAGGAGUUGAGCAAAGAGUAUCCCAAUCCAUCAGAGAAGAACCACAAUGCAUAGCACCUUGUUCUGACAUAUGACUGCUCUUAAUAUUGCCCUCUACAUGAUCCUUACCAUCCUCAUAAGUAGGGUCUGUUCGAUCCUCAUCCACAUUUGAUGGCUCAACAUUGGGAUCUGAGCUCAAAUCAAAACCAUUUUGUUCCCCUGUCCCAUUAUAAGCUACGGUUACUACUCCUUGAUCAGAUGGUUCAGCAACUUCUUUCUUUUGCCUCUUCCAUUUCUUUGUAGAUGAA